rnacentral:rRNA from 1 species
CGCUUCAUACGGCUCAGUAACACGUAGUCAACCUGCCCUGGAGACGCGGACAAACCCGGGAAACUGGGGCCUAUCCGCGAUAGAUGACCUCAUCUGGAAGGAGAGGUCGUUCAAAAGGCGGCGCGAGUAUGCUUCGCGAAGCCGCUCUAGGAUGGGACUGCGGCCGAUCAGGCUGUUGGCGGGGUAAUGGCCCACCAAACCUGUAACCGGUACGGGCUUUGAGAGAAGGAGCCCGGAGAUGGACACUGAGACAAGGGUCCAGGCCCUACGGGGCGCAUCAGGCGCGAAAACUUCGCAAUGCGCGAAAGCGUGACGAGGCUAAUCCGAGUGCUCUCCGCUGAGGAGGGCUUUUCUCGGCUGUAAAUAGGCCGGGGAAUAAGGGGAGGGCAAGUCUGGUGUCAGCCGCCGCGGUAAUACCAGCUCCUCGAGUGGUCGGGACGAUUAUUGGGCCUAAAGCACCCGUAGCCGGUUCGGUAAGUCCUCUGUUAAAUCCAACCGCUCAACGGUUGGCCUGCAGGGGAUACUGCAGGACUAGGAGGCGGGAGAGGCGGACGGUACUCCGCGUGUAGGGGUAAAAUCCUUUGAUCCGCGGAAGACCACCAGUGGCGAAGGCGGUCCGCCAGAACGCGCUCGACGGUGAGGGGUGAAAGCUGGGGGAGCGAACCGGAUUAGAUACCCGGGUAGUCCCAGCCGUAAACGAUGCGAGCUAGAUGAUUCGAUCGCAGUUCGCGCUCGAAGUGUCGCAGGGAAGCCGUUAAGCUCGCCGCCUGGGGAGUACGGUCGCAAGGCUGAACUUAAAGGCCA